rnacentral:rRNA from 1 species
AGCAUUAUACAGCGAAACUGCGAAUGGCUCAUUAUAUAAGUUAUCGUUUAUUUGAUAGUACCUUACUACUUGGAUAACCGUGGUAAUUCUAGAGCUAAUACAUGCUAAAAAUCCCGACUUCGGAAGGGAUGUAUUUAUUAGAUUAAAAACCAAUGCCCUCUGGGCUCCUUGGUGAUUCAUAAUAACUUUUCGAAUCGCAUGGCCUUGCGCCGGCGAUGGUUCAUUCAAAUUUCUUCCCUAUCAACUUUCGAUGUUUGGGUAUUGGCCAAACAUGGUCGCAACGGGUAACGGAGGGUUAGGGCUCGACCCCGGAGAAGGAGCCUGAGAAACGGCUACUACAUCCAAGGAAGGCAGCAGGCGCGCAAAUUACCCAAUCCCGAUUCGGGGAGGUAGUGACAAUAAAUACUGAUACAGGGCUCUUUUGGGUCUUGUAAUUGGAAUGAGUACAAUUUAAAUCCCUUAACGAGGAACAAUUGGAGGGCAAGUCUGGUGCCAGCAGCCGCGGUAAUUCCAGCUCCAAUAGCGUAUAUUAAAGUUGUUGUGGUUAAAAAGCUCGUAGUUGAACCUUGGGCCUGGCUGGCCGGUCCGCCUCACCGCGUGUACUGGUCCGGCCGGGCCUUUCCCUCUGUGGAACCUCAUGCCCUUCACUGGGUGUGGCGGGGAAACAGGACUUUUACUUUGAAAAAAUUAGAGUGCUCCAGGCAGGCCUAUGCUCGAAUACAUUAGCAUGGAAUAAUGAAAUAGGACGUGUGGUUCUAUUUUGUUGGUUUCUAGGACCGCCGUAAUGAUUAAUAGGGACAGUCGGGGGCAUCAGUAUUCAAUUGUCAGAGGUGAAAUUCUUGGAUUUAUUGAAGACUAACUACUGCG